AACAAUGCCAGCUACUCCACAAGGACAACCAAUGCCAGCAAACUCAAGAAAUCUCUCACCUACACACUACACACACAAAUCUAACAGAUCAAGAGUGCCAAUUGUCCAAAAUACCCACGUCUGGAAAGCUAAACUAUACUACCAUUCUGAUAAAUACAGGGGGCCAUUUGAAGUAUUAACCUUUCAGGCUUAGGUGAGGAUAGGAUACCUUUCUUCAGAAGUAAGGCAUGCACAAAAGGGAAAAUCAAGCAAUUCAUCAAUUUAACUCCCAUUCCCUCCAUGACAUCUUUUCAGUGGAAGCACAAGACCAGAAAAGAGAAUGCCAGUAGGCGAUGAUGACUCCAGAUUUGCCUUCCUCAGGAGAGAACUAGAAGCAGCUCUGGCAAGGAACAAUUCCAUGGAGAGAGAGAAUCAGGAACUUCAACAAGAAGUGAGCCGUCUUAAAGCACAAGUAAGUGCCCUCAAAGCCCACGAUAAUGAAAGGAAAUCGAUGCUCUGGAAGAAGUUGCAGUACUCCUUGGGUGGCACAAAUACAGAGAGGUUUCAGCAGAAACCAACAUCUCCACUUGAGAUUGCAGAAAAAGGUCAAGCAGUGGAGAGUUUGAAGCCAGAAGAAGAUUUGGGAAAACCAGAAAGAGUACCAAAACCACCGCCAGCAAAGCCAACUACUUCUGCUACUAUACAUAGAGUACAUUCAGCACCAGCAACAGCAACAGCAACAGCACCGCCACCUCCGCCGCCACCGCCACCGUCAAACUUGAUAAUUCGAUCAAAAGCAGUGCGUCGCGUGCCAGAGGUGAUGGAGUUCUACCGUCUGCUUACAAAGAGAGAUUCCCAAAAGGAGAACAAAACCAGUCCAACAGGAACACCUGCAACCAUAAAUCCAAGGAACAUGAUCGGAGAAAUUGAGAACCGAUCAACAUAUGUAUUGGCUAUAAAGUCAGAUGUGGAAACACAAGGCGAAUUCAUCAAUUCUUUAAUAAGGGCAGUGGAGACUGCAGAAUUCACAGAUAUGUCUGAUGUGGAAGCAUUCAUCAAGUGGCUGGACGGAGAACUAUCCUGCCUGGUUGAUGAGAGGGCUGUGUUGAAGCAUUUCCCACAGUGGCCAGAGAAAAAAGCUGAUGCAUUGCGAGAAGCUGCUUUCAGCUACCGGGACCUGAAGAACCUUGAAUCUGAAGUUUCAUCAUUCAAGGAUAACCCAAAACAGCUUUUUAUCCAGUCCCUGAGAAGGAUACAAGCAUUGCAAGACAGAUUGGAAAGAAGUGUUAACAACAUUGAAAGAAUGAGGGACGGUACCAGCAAGAGAUACAGGGAAUUACACAUCCCCUGGGAAUGGAUGCUGGACACCGGUGUCGUCGGUCAGGUAGGUGAUGAAAUUAAGUUCACUGACAUUGGCAAAGGCAUACAUGAGGAGAGUAACUAAAGAACUGAAGUACAAUGAAUCCUCACAAGAACAGGACCUCCUGCUUCAAGGCGUUCGAUUUGCUUUUCGAGUACACCAGUUUGCAGGUGGGUUCGAUGCAGAAACCAAGCAUGCAUUUGAAGAACUAAGGAAUGUUGGAACAGGUCAACAGAAACAAUAGCAUGCUGUUAAAAUACACCAGAUCUAACAGAAUAUAGAGUGAAAGAAUGGCAUACUGCAACUAUUAGCAGAAAGGGUAAUUGUAAAAUAGUUUAUCAGAGAAGAUUUUACAAAUGCACAUAUCUGGUAAAAAUUAUGGUCAAGUUUCUUAUGUUAUGAACUUGACCCACAACAAAUAUAUUCUUACAAAUUGAGGCACACAUCUGAAGUAGCCUAAAUCUUCAAUAUCCUCAUUACAAGAUA